rnacentral:rRNA from 1 species
CGAGGACGAACGCUGGCGGCGUGCUUAACACAUGCAAGUCGAACGGAGCACCCUUGAUUGAGGUUUCGGCCAAAUGAUAGGAAUGCUUAGUGGCGGACUGGUGAGUAACGCGUGAGGAACCUGCCUCUCAGAGGGGGACAACAGUUGGAAACGACUGCUAAUACCGCAUGACACAUUCGGGCGGCAUCGCCUGGAUGUCAAAGAUUUUAUCGCUGAGAGAUGGCCUCGCGUCUGAUUAGCUAGUUGGUGAGGUAACGGCCCACCAAGGCGACGAUCAGUAGCCGGACUGAGAGGUUGACCGGCCACAUUGGGACUGAGAUACGGCCCAGACUCCUACGGGAGGCAGCAGUGGGGAAUAUUGGGCAAUGGACGCAAGUCUGACCCAGCAACGCCGCGUGAAGGAAGAAGGCUUUCGGGUUGUAAACUUCUUUUGUCAGGGAAGAGCAGAAGACGGUACCUGACGAAUAAGCCACGGCUAACUACGUGCC